UUGUUCAACUGACAGCUGAAUGUACACAUAGCUCCAUCUGAGAGGGAAAGGCAGAUGUAGGUGUAAGGACUGAAUUUUAUCUCAUGGCAUCUGAGCAACCUCGAUGGCCUGACAGCUUUGUUAUGCUAUAUGGGUUAACAAUUGGGUCAUGAGAUAAUUCACAAAACUCUCCAGCAGUCCAGGCUCGGCCGGGGUUAACUCUUGCUGUGGGGCUGGGAUGAGGAAAAGCAGAUCUUCUCAAGCUGCAGCUGCAGUUGACAUCUCCUUCACCCCAUACCUGAGCUCCUGCUCCCUGGAAGAGAAACCCGAGUAACGACAGCCAUAGCUGCAGAGAAGGGUUCUUCUUGGUAGUGGCUGAUUCUGACUUCAGAGCUGUGGGCAUUGAGCUAGAAAGCAGUACAGAGGGAGGGCCAGGAGGUAAGUGACGCCGGGAAAUGGGAAACUCAGGGGAGAAAGGACUUGACUUUCUUCCCCUCACAAAGAUGUGCUUUGCAAUUUUCGUCUUUUCAUCUGGACUGGUGAGUUUCAAAAUUUUUAGUCUUUAGACAACUUGAGCUAGACAAAGUCUCACCCAUUUACUAGAUUGAACAAGCCAGCAAACAAACAAAAAAACCACUUUGCAGGUGUGUUUGCUGAAUUCCUGUGAUUAUUUGUAGGUCCCUUUAAACAUAUUUGUUUUGAUGCUUUUAAGUUUUGAUUGAAAUCCACAGCAGAAAAUAUGUUUUAAAAGGGGGGGAAAAAUCAACACACUUCUGUGCCUUGCAUUUUGACUCAGCCCACAGAACGGUUGGAAGAAUCUCUGCAGACCCACUAUAGAUCCCCGGAUUCCACUUGGAGAACCAUUAAUCUAAAAAGACAUCUUGAUUUCAGAACCCUUCUUUUGAUCUGGAAUUAUCUGUUACUGACCACAGACAGCUGCUACUGACAAUUCCUGGGACAGGGCCCUGUUGAGUGAGAGGAAUCUAUAUUGUUUCUACUGGACCUCUUGUUCUCUGUUCAACCGAACCUGUAAUAUCCUUACUUCCCCCAAAACUCACAUCCUCAUUGCUGUUGUUUAAUUCAGCUUCUGGGACUCCUGACUCAUUAGCUGUUGCCACAUUGUCCUUUUACAGGGCCCCUGGGGCUUUCUGUCCAUUGUCAUCCCUUCCUUCUCCCACCCUGAGGAGAAUGAGCAGCCAC
rnacentral:lncRNA from 1 species